UGCGGAAGGAUCAUUGUGG
rnacentral:rRNA from 1 species